rnacentral:rRNA from 1 species
GCAGCCGCGGUAAUUCCAGCUCCAAUAGCGUAUAUUAAAGUUGUUGCAGUUAAAAAGCUCGUAGUUGAAUUUCGGGAUCAGUACGCCGGUCGUGCCUUCGGUAUGCACUGGUGUCACUGGUUUCUCCCUUCUGAAGAACCAUCAUGCCAUUCAGUUGGUGUGGCGGGGAAUCAGGACUGUUACUUUGAAAAAAUUAGAGUGUUUAAAGCAGGCUCGCGCUUGAAUACAUUAGCAUGGAAUAAUGAAAUAGGACGUUUGACCCUAUUUUGUUGGUUUCUAGGAUCGACGUAAUGAUUAAUAGGGAUAGUUGGGGGCAUUAGUAUUCAAUUGUCAGAGGUGAAAUUCUUGGAUUUAUUGAAGACUAACUACUGCGAAAGCAUUUGCCAAGGAUGUUUUCAUUAAUCAAGAACGAAAGUUAGGGGAUCGAAGACGAUCAGAUACCGUCGUAGUCUUAACCAUAAACUAUGCCGACUAGGGAUCGGAUGAUGUUAAUUUUUUAAUGACUCAUUCGGCGCCUUACGGG